UGCCGCGUGUGUGAAGAAGGCUUCGGGUUGUAAAGCACUUUUGUCAGGAACGAAACGGCGGGGGCUAAUAUCCUCUGCUAAUGACGGUACCUGAAGAAUAAGCACCGGCUAACUACGUGCCAGCAGCCGCGGUAAUACGUAGGGUGCGAGCGUGAAUCGGAAUUACUGGGCGUAAAGCGUGCGCAGGCGGUUGUGCGAGACAGAUGUGAAAUCCCCGGGCUUAACCUGGGAAUUGCAUUUGUGACUGCACGGCUAGAGUGUGUCAGAGGGGGGUAGAAUUCCACGUGUAGCAGUGAAAUGCGUAGAUAUGUGGAGGAAUACCGAUGGCGAAGGCAGACCCCUGGGAUAACACUGACGCUCAUGCACGAAAGCGUGGGGAGCAAACAGGAUUAAAUAACCUGGAUAGUCCACGCCCUAAACGAUGUCUACUAGUUGUCGGGUCUUAAUUGACUUGGUAACGCAGCUAAAGCGUGAAGUAAGACCGACUGAGGAGUACAGUCGAAAGAUUAAAACUCAGAGGAAUUGACGGGGACCCGAAAAAGCGGUGGAUGAUGUGGAUAAA
rnacentral:rRNA from 1 species